UGAUAGAUUUCAAGCUCGCUUGAUUUCACAGAUAGUGAACGUUUAGUUGUUCUCUCUUCUCUGCUCUUUGUCUUUAGCUUGAUAGCUGAAUCUUGCUUUAAUCCAUGUGCAUCUUUCUCGCAGUGUUUCCACUGAAGUAAAGUCAAAGGUUGACGAGUUGAAGUCUAAACUUGAGAAAGAAAGACAGAACUUUGCCAAAGCACUAACAAAUAGUUCGAAGGAGACACCGGUUCCAUGUUUGAGGAGGACAAGGAGAGGCUCUAUAUGCGAUAUGAGCAACUAAGGAAGAAGGAGAAGACAAUGAUAUCUGAACAGGAGAGAUUCUGCACAUAAAAACUUUGCUCAACUGGAAGAGUCGCUGAAGAAAAAGAAACGGGACGACAAAACUUUCAGUAUAUUGAGGAAAACUCUCGGCUGUUUUCUGGAGAAUGAAGUUUCUGAUGAGGAGUUCCCACCUGAUGAGUAAAAUAUUAACUUUUCACUUGAAGCUUAAGAAAAAGGUUAAGAGCCCUUUAACUUUGA